AUAAUAGACUACCCCGGUAGUCCACGCCGUAAACGAUGAUGGCUGGGUGUUGGCGAUACACUGUCAGCGCCUGAGCGAAAGCAUUAAGCCAUCCACCUGGGGAGUACGAUCGCAAGGUUGAAACUCAAAGGAAUUGACGGGGGCCCGCACAAGCGGAGGAACAUGUGGUUUAAUUCGAUGAUACGCGAGGAACCUUACCUGGGCUCGAACGCCCACCGACGGCACCGGAGACGGUGCUCUCCAGCGAUGGCGGUGGGCGAGGUGCUGCAUGGUUGUCGUCAGCUCGUGCCGUGAGGUGUCGGGUUAAGUCCCAUAACGAGCGCAACCCUUACUGCCAGUUGCCAUCGGGUGGAGCCGGGGACUCUGGCGGGACUGCCGGCGUAAGCCGUGAGGAGGGUGGGGAUGACGUCAAAUCAGCACGGCCCUUACGUCCAGGGCUACACACGUGUUACAAUGGCCGGUACAGAGGGCAGCCACCCCGCGAGGGGGCGCCAAUCCCCGAAAUCCGGUCCCAGUUCGGAUUGGGGUCUGCAACCCGCCCCAUGAAGGUUG
rnacentral:rRNA from 1 species